GAUGAACGCUGGCGGCGUGCCUAAUACAUGCAAGUCGAGCGAACAGAUGAGGAGCUUGCUCCUCUGACGUUAGCGGCGGACGGGUGAGUAACACGUGGAUAACCUACCUAUAAGACUGGGAUAACUUCGGGAAACCGGAGCUAAUACCGGAUAAUAUAUUGAACCGCAUGGUUCAAUAGUGAAAGACGGUUUUGCUGUCACUUAUAGAUGGAUCCGCGCCGCAUUAGCUAGUUGGUAAGGUAACGGCUUACCAAGGCAACGAUGCGUAGCCGACCUGAGAGUGUGAUCGGCCACACUGGAACUGAGACACGGUCCAGACUCCUACGGGAGGCAGCAGUAGGGAAUCUUCCGCAAUGGGCGAAAGCCUGACGGAGCAACGCCGCGUGAGUGAUGAAGGUCUUCGGAUCGUAAAACUCUGUUAUUAGGGAAGAACAAAUGUGUAAGUAACUAUGCACGUCUUGACGGUACCUAAUCAGAAAGCCACGGCUAACUACGUG
rnacentral:rRNA from 1 species